rnacentral:rRNA from 1 species
GAUGAACGCUAGCUACAGGCUUAACACAUGCAAGUCGAGGGGAAACGGCAUUAAGUGCUUGCACUUUUUGGACGUCGACCGGCGCACGGGUGAGUAACGCGUAUCCAACCUUCCCAUGACUAAGGGAUAACCUGCCGAAAGGCAGACUAAUACCUUAUGGUCUUCACUGACGGCAUCAGAUGUGAAGUAAAGAUUUAUCGGUUAUGGAUGGGGAUGCGUCUGAUUAGCUUGUUGGCGGGGUAACGGCCCACCAAGGCAACGAUCAGUAGGGGUUCUGAGAGGAAGGUCCCCCACAUUUGAGCUGAGACACGGUCCAAACUCCUACAGGAGGCAGCAGUGAGGAAUAUUGGUCAAUGGGCGAGAGCCUGAACCAGCCAAGUAGCGUGCAGGAUGACGGCCCUAUGGGUGGUAAACUGCUUUUGUAUGGGGAUAAAGUCAAUCACGUGUGAUUGUUUGCAGGUACCAUACGAAUAAGGACCGGCUAAUUCCGUG